GACGAACGCUGGCGGCGUGCUUAACACAUGCAAGUCGAGCGAGAACCAGGGCUUCGGCCCUGGGGACAGCGGCGAACGGGUGAGUAACACGUGGGUCAUCUGCCCUCGGCACCGGAAUAGCCCGGGGAAACCCGGAUUAAUGCCGGAUGGCCCGACCGCUCUACGGGGCGGUCGGAAAAGGUAGCUUCGGCCUCCGGCCGAGGAUGAGCCCGCGGCCUAUCAGCUUGUUGGUGGGGUGAUGGCCUACCAAGGCGACGACGGGUAGCCGGCCUGAAAGGGUGACCGGCCACACUGGGACUGAGAUACGGCCCAGACUCCUACGGGAGGCAGCAGUGGGGAAUAUUGCACAAUGGGCGCAAGCCUGAUGCAGCGACGCCGCGUGAGGGAUGACGGCCUUCGGGUUGUAAACCUCUUUCAGCACCGACGAAGCGCAAGUGACGGUAGGUGCAGAAGAAGGACCGGCCAACUACGUGCCAGCAGCCGCAGUAA
rnacentral:rRNA from 1 species